AAGUCGUAACAAGGUCUCCGUAGGUGAACCUGCGGAGGGAUCAUUAACGAGUUAGGGUCUCACCGGCCCGACCUCCCAACCCUUUGUCUACCUGACCAUCGUUGCUUCGGCGAGCCCGUCCUCACGGACCGCCGGGGGGUUCUUCGCCCUCUGGCCCGCGCUCGUCGACAGCCCCCACAAUAUAAUCUUCACUAAACGUGUCUUAAUCUAAGUAUUAUUGUUAAAUAAAAACAAAAACUUUCAACAACGGAUCUCUUGGUUCUG
rnacentral:misc_RNA from 1 species